CAAUUAUGCGCUGGCGCUGCUUUUCUCCAGGCUCCCUGCAGUGGUCUCCUCCUGACACAGGAGACUUGUGGGAGGGGAGUGGUGUUUGCGAGGUUGUAGGUCAAGGCUCAAGAUUCUGUGCCGCCAACUAAAAACAGUCUGCAGUCACCAGGGUGGGUGUUACUGCACUAUGCACGAAACCGGACGGGUCACCAAAUGGACACCUUUGAGAAGCAGCUGAGAAAAUGGCAAAUUCAUCCGCGAGUCUCAAGAACCCGAGACCAUCCCUUCACAGGCAUCGGAGCCUACUUCUUCAGGAUUCCAGCAUGUACUGAAGAGCAGCUGAGACAUCCAGCCUCACGGACUGAACAACCACUGGGUUUUUGUACCUCCUGUUGAUAGACAGCCAUUGUUGGACUAACUGGACCACAGCCUAAACACCCAGACUCCUCUUGAUUCACCGCAGCCUGACCUUGGUUCCAUGGCUGCUGGAAGGAGGCUCUGCUGUCGACACCGAUAGGCAACCAAUCUGAUGGGUCUAUUUCAGAGUUAGGUGUUUAAUUGCGAUAGGUGGGCUAUGAAAACCAGGCAGACCCAAAUCGUAUUUUUUUCUACAAAGCCUAAGGCUUUCACUGUGUGUGUCUUCAGUGGUUUGGGGACAGCGUAGCCCAAGCAGCGUAGUGUGAUGGGAAUGAACUCAGCUUCAUGAACUCCACCUCAAAUCUUUGAGCCUCUGUACUGCUCUGCGAAUGGUAGAUGCUCAAUUAAGACGAGUUUCUUUGCUCAGAAACUCACUGGACUUACGAAACCACAGAAGUUAUCCUGGUUCGGUCCAAUGCCGGGAGAGCCCGAACAGGCUAGGUAUCUAAACCUUUAACCAACGUGUCUUUCUGCAGAAGAAGUCUGGGAAGGAUUUCUCUCUGCAGAAAGACAAAGGCAGGGAUGUAAAGGGCUCAUGAAAUGAUGCUGGACCCAGACCUGACCCUUUAGUUAGGAAAGUGGGCUUCUGAAGAAACCAGAAGCCGUAGCUGUCUUGAAACUAGUCUUGUGUUUCUCAGUAUUAUCUAUUUAUCUCUUCUCUUCUC